UGUCUUGUAUUGCGUAUGAUGUGUCUUUAAACCUCUUCCAGAGUAUCAAUUGGAGGGCAAGUCUGGUGCCAGCAGCCGCGGUAAUUCCAGCUCCAAUAGCGUAUAUUAAAAUUGUUGCAGUUAAAAAGCUCGUAGUUGAAUUUCUGCUACAUUGCCUAUUCUCCUUUACGAGUUUGGGUCUUUUGUGGCUUAUCUGGGUUCGCUUGCGUUCCCGGUGUUUUACUUUGAGAAAAUUAGAGUGCUCAAAGCAGGCUUUUGCCUUGAAUAGUUUAGCAUGGAAUAAUAAAGUAGGACUUUGGUUCUAUUUUGUUGGUUUUAGGUACCAAAGUAAUGGUUAAUAGGAACAGUUGGGGGCAUUCGUAUUUA
rnacentral:rRNA from 1 species